rnacentral:tRNA from 1 species
AUUUAAAUAGCUUAUAUAGAGUAUAAUAUUGAAGAUAUUGUGGAGAUUAUUUUAAAUCUUUAAAUA